GCCUAUGUAGCUCAAUCGGAUAGAGCGUCAGAAUAUUGAUCUGAAAGCUGCGAGUUCGACCCUCGCAAUAGGCC
rnacentral:tRNA from 1 species